GGUGAGAUGCGCAGCUGUGACUGACUGACUGAGCAUCGGACACAUCAACCCACCUCCACUUGGCUUUUUUUUUUGUGUGUGCACUUGUAAGCUCUGACUGUUUUUUUUUAGUUGAAGGACAGUUUUUUUUGCUUUUUGGCACCCCCUCCUUUAAAGAGCGGAGGCACAUUGUCUGUGGCGCAGCGCGGCGACAGCUCGGUGUCCGGUUACAAACCGAGGAGCCACCGUGCACAGAGCGCUUCUCUGUGGGGCAGAAAUAGCACACAGUGCUCCGGAGGGACGAGAGAGAGAGCACAGAGAGGAAUCUCUGCGGAGACAAGAAGGAGUUUUUUACCGAGACGCAGCAGAACGGAGGAUAUAUCAUCUUUUCUUUUUGGUUUUCUCCAGCACCGUAUAGCACUCUUCUUCUCACCGGGACAAGACAACGCAGCUUCGCUCUCUGCUAGAUGAACCGGUGUUGGGCACCUCACUUGGUGUGUCUCUCCAAUGCUCUUGGGCCCCUGAGGCCUGAGGAGAAGUGAGCCAAGCCAAGGAACCCCCGCAUGGGACGCCCUGUUUCCCAGCAUGCACUGCUGCUGCUGCAGUGCAUGCUGGUCCUGCGGCCCGGAGGAGGAGCGGCUGGUAGGAGAGGGCCAGUGCUGCUGCCUGAAUCGCCCUGUCACAAGACAGAGCACCCGCUCGUCCCACACUCAGAGAUGGAGCCGUGGAUCUUCAGGUUCAAGGCGGAGGGCACGGUGGAUUACUCACAGCUGACCUUCGACCCCGGCCAGAACGAACUGAUCGUCGGUGCCAGAAAUCACCUCUUCAGGCUCAAUCUGGAAGACCUGACACUGAUCCAGGAGGCUGAGUGGCACUGCGAUGAGUUUACCAAGGGAGCCUGCUUCAGCCGCGGAAAGUCUGAGGAGGAGUGCCAGAACUACAUCAGGGUGCUGCUGGUGAACGGGAACAGGCUGUUUACCUGUGGAACCAACGCCUUCACCCCCAUCUGCACCAACCGAACGCUGACAAAUUUGACAGAGAUCCACGAUCAGAUCAGCGGGAUGGCUCGGUGUCCAUACAACCCCCUCCACAACUCCACCGCCCUCAUCACCUCCAGUGGGGAGCUUUACGCCGCCACGGCCAUGGACUUCUCUGGGCGAGACCCCGCCAUCUACCGCAGCCUGGGCGGCCUGCCACCGCUGCGCACUGCCCAGUACAACUCCAAGUGGCUGAACGAGCCCAACUUCGUCUCCUCCUACGACAUCGGCAACUUCACCUACUUCUUCUUCCGGGAAAACGCAGUGGAGCAUGACUGUGGUCGGACGGUGUUUUCCCGCGCAGGGCGUGUAUGUAAGAACGACAUCGGCGGUCGCUUCCUUCUCGAGGACACGUGGACGACUUUCAUGAAGGCCAGGCUGAACUGCUCCCGACCGGGAGAAAUCCCCUUCAACUACAACGAGCUGCAGGGAACCUUUUACCUACCUGAGCUGGAGCUGCUCUACGGCAUUUUCACUACCAACGUAAACAGCAUUGCUGCGUCUGCGGUGUGUGCCUUCAAUCUCAGUGCCAUAGCACAGGUUUUCAACGGGCCCUUCAAGUACCAGGAGAACUCGCGGUCAGCGUGGCUGCCCUACCCCAACCCCAACCCAGACUUUCAGUGCGGCACCAUUGACUCCGGCUCCUACGUGAACCUGACUGAAAGAAACCUGCAGGAUGCUCAGAAGUUUUUGCUGAUGCAUGAGGUGGUCCAACCCGUGGUUCCCGUGCCCUACUUCAUGGAGGACAACGUGCGGUUCACUCACGUGGCGGUGGACGUGGUGCAGGGGAAGGACAUGCUGUUUCACAUCAUAUACUUGGCCACGGAUUACGGUACUAUCAGGAAAGUGCUUUCCCCUCUCAAUCAGUCCACGGGGAGCUGCCUGUUGGAGGAGAUCGAAUUGUUCCCGCCCAGGAAGAGGCAGCCGAUCCGAAGCCUGCUGAUCCUGCACAGCCGCAGCGAGCUUUAUGUGGGUGUGAGAGACCAGGUCAUCAAGAUCCCGCUCAAGAGAUGCAGCUACCACAAGAGCAGAGAAGCCUGUGUGGGGGCCAGAGACCCGUACUGUGGUUGGGACCUGUUGCUGAAGAAAUGCACCACACUGGAGGAAAGUGUCAGGAUGAGCCAAUGGGAGCAGAGCAUCACAAAAUGCCCCAUCCGUAAUGUGACUGUUGAUGGAAGCUUUGGCGCCUGGUCAGGCUGGUCCACGUGUAGUCACAAUGAUGGCGGCAGCGCGGGGUCCUGUCUGUGUCGGACGCGAGCCUGUGAUAGCCCUGCCCCUCAGUGUGGAGGCCAGCAUUGCUACGGCAUCAGCGUGGAGGUCGCAAACUGCUCCAGAAAUGGAGCCUGGACCCCCUGGACUUCCUGGUCUCCCUGCAGCACCAGCUGCGGCAUCGGCUUCCAGGUCCGUCAACGCUCCUGCAGCAACCCAACCCCUCGCCACGGCGGACGAGUGUGUGUGGGCCAGAACCGCGAGGAGAGGUACUGUAAUGAACACCUGCCCUGCCCGCCGCACGUGUACUGGUCGGCCUGGUCGGCAUGGGAACGCUGCACCGUGCCCUGCGGCGGAGGCAUCCAGUCACGACGCAGAACCUGUGAGAACGGCAACGACUGUCCCGGGUGUGGUCAGGAGUACCAGUCGUGCAACACCCUGCCGUGUCCCGACCUGAAGAAGACGACGCCCUGGACCCCCUGGACGCCCGUCAACAUCUCCGACAACGGCGGGCACUACGAGCAGCGCUUCCGCUACACCUGCAAAGCUCGAAUCCCGGAUCCAAGCCUGCUGGAGGUGGGCCGGCAGAGGAUCGAGAUGCGCUACUGCUCCAGCGACGGAUCCACCGGCUGCUCCACUGACGGAGAGGUGCUUCGCCUCGGGAGGAUCUCAGGCCACACGGUGAACGGUGGCUGGUCGUCCUGGAGCUCCUGGUCCCAGUGCAGCAGAGACUGCAGCCGGGGGAUCCGCAGCCGAAAGAGGACCUGCAGUAACCCAGAACCCAAGCACGGAGGUCAGACCUGCCUGGGGCCGCCACAGGAGUAUCAGGAGUGUAACAUCACCCCUUGUCCAGUGGACGGCAGCUGGUCAUGCUGGUCUUCAUGGUCCAAGUGCUCUGUGACGUGCGGAGGGGGAUACUACAUGAGGACGCGCACCUGCAACAACCCCCCGCCAGCUUACGGAGGGGACAUCUGCCUGGGCCUGCACACUGAGGAGGCGCUGUGCAACACACAAUCCUGUCCAGAGAGCUGGUCCAGCUGGUCCGAGUGGUCCCACUGCGACUCCAACGGCGCCCAGAUGCGUGUGCGUCACUGUGAUGUCCUGUUCCCCACUGGAAACCAGUGCACGGGAAACAACAGCGAGAACAGGCCAUGCUCCCCUGACUCCAAUUUUAUACCAGAAGUCUCGAUCGCACGCUCCAGUCAGGAGGAGAGGCGCUGUGGAGACUUCAACCUCUUCCACAUGAUCGCCGUGGGGCUCAGCAGCUCCAUCCUCGGCUGUCUGGUCACCCUGCUGGUCUACUCGUACUGCCAGCGCUACCAGCAGCAGUCUCACGACGCCACCGUCAUCCACCCCAUCUCAGCGGCGCCGCUCAACACCAGCAUCACCAACCACAUCAACAAGCUGGACAAAUACGACUCGGUGGAAGCCAUCAAGCCCGAUGUGUCGGUACUCUUGCCCUUGGACGACCCCGCCAUGCACCAGCCUCUCUCUGCUAACAUGGGGGUGUCCAUGCGUGGCCUGGAGAUUUUCUACUAACCUCUGACCUCUACAACAUCUCGCCUCUUGACCCUCCCCCAACAACUCUUUGACCCCCACCACUACUACUUCCUCCUCCCCACCGUGCCCCGCCCUUCCACUUCCUGUGGCACUUCCUGUGUGUGGCAGGCCUUCAACAAAAACAAUCUGAUUCUGGAGGAAAGAAAUAAAUACUUCAACCCUCAGCUUGCCGGGAAGACCUAUACCAAUGCAUACUUCACUGACCUCAACACCUAUGAUGACUAUUAAGCCUUGAUUCGUCAGUUUCAGACUCCAUACCAUAGCGGGCACGCCAACCCUAUCAUCCAUUUUGACUGUAUUCUUUUCUUUGUGCUUUGUAUUGAGAUUCGUGACACCAUGCGUGGGAUAGUCCCACUCUCAGACUCUAUGGCAGCUGGUAUGUAAUGAAAACACAGACACACAGUGUUGCCAACAGAGUGAAAUGCCCACUUUCUCUCAGGUGCCUUGGGGUACACUUGGAAAGCUCAAUUUUUUGGGGGCAAAUCUUGCCUUGACUCUCUCUGAGAAACGGACAACUGGAUUACCCAAUGUGGACAAAAACGGGGAAACUCAAAGAGACUGUGGGAAAUGUGAUCCCCUUUUAACUUUCCUGUGACGCCUCUAAAAUAGACCUGUAUUUGUAAUGAUGGGAAAUAACCACAAAACCGCUUUGCAUGACUUCAUCUGACGUGUUUUUCUCUGCUGUUCUGUUUCGUUUUUUGCAUGGUUGAUCGCAUUCCAGGGUUUGGGGACUUGCAAGCAGCGUUUUUUUUUGCUGGUCUUAGGUUCAGGACUGGUUUUGGAAGUCAUAAAAACAAAGACUUUGGUGAUGCUUGAUGGUUUUUACCAUUUACUGCUGCAGCAAUCUCCAGAUGGAUCAAUAUCCACCCCCAGUCCUAGAAUCAGGAUGUAGAUAUUUGAAGUCUGUGGUCAAGUUUGUCCACUUUUUCUUUUCUUUUCUUUUUUGUUACAGGAUCUAGCAGCUAGCAGUGAUUGAACUUACAGUGUACCAUAUCUUUGGCUUUCUUUUUUUUUAAUUUUAUUAUUUUUGUUGCUUUUAAAACUACAUAUGUUUUGUACAGGAUGUUAAGUUUGAAGCCUAUGUCUGUAGUUUUUUCUAAAUACAUUUAUUCAAUGUCGCAAGUGUUUAAAGAAUAAAACAUUUCCUUUUGAAAAGAAAAAAAGUUUAUGUGCAUUCUGACAAGUAAUCAGGAGUAUUCAUAUCAGCCUACAUCAAGUUCAGUCUUUGUCACCGUACUUUUUUAUAUUUUUUGUAAAAAAAAAAAUAAUGUUUUUGAAUUUUGAUAGUGUUCGCUAUUCCUUUCGCUUCUGAGUUAAAUAUGUAACUUGUGAGAGCAGGAUGUUAAUGGCAUUUUCUGUACAGAUGGAGCGUACUCUUCUGAACCCCGACUGGAGUGCUACCCAUAUAUUAUGAGAUGAAAUCCCUUCAUCACAUUGAGAUAUUUCUGUUCAGAGUGUAUAACCAAAUAUUAGGUUAUUCAAUGGUUCAGUUGCAACUAACUCUUUUUACAUGUUUGCUUGUGUUACUGUGCAUAAAUUAAAAACUGCUUCGUACACAACAGACUUGUCAGAGUGUGAGUUAUGCAGAUUCAUUUUUAGAAUAUCUCAUUUGUAAAGCGUUGAUGCCUUCGAUCUCGUAAAAUUUGACUCUCUCUGCAGCUCUUGUGAAUGACCUGAAGGUGACUUCAACUAGAGUGAAAGCAGUUACAAGUGUGGGACGCUUCUGUCCUGUGUGGUUUGCUCUGACAAAUUUGGAGACUUUUAUGUUCCUCGAGCAAAGUACUGUAAAACCACAGCGCGGCGAGCACGGACCAGCACUUCAUAAAUCACUCAAAACCAGCCCGAUUUUUAAAGGAGUCUUCAGCACGGCCCUGCAGUGACAAAUGGCAUCAGCGGCAGUGGAAGGAUACCUGAAGGAUACAAAUCGCGCAAGGCAGCAGGGUAAAGGUGGAGGGGGGGCGCCGUCUGAAGUCCAAACUCUAAUCUGUAUGAUGGCGUGUAACACCACACACUGUGCUGUUCUCCAUCAACCUUCAACCUGACGUCCCAUCUGUGUGCUGAGGGUAAUGGAAGGGGGUGUUAUUAAUCACCCCGCUGUUUGGUCGGUUGGAGGUGAGGAGAGGGGGGGAGGGAGGGUGCUGAUCCAGCCCAAUGUACGGCCCAGCGCUGUCUGGCUCCAGAGAAUCAAUCCAUCUACCUUGACUUCAUUCUUACUACCUGUGAAAGCAACGCAGACACACAGAUGCAUGUACAGUAUAUGCACAUACUGUACAGGGACGAGAGGACAGCACAUGCAAGGCUCAACAAUAAGGAUUGCCUGAUUUGCCGGGGCAAGUAAAAUGCAACUUUGGGCUAGUAAGUCUAGCAAAAAAAAGAAUUAAACAGUUUUUUCCGGAGCUGAUGAUGAAUGUUUUGUUGCUUCGCAUCUAUGACACGCUGUGUCCUUGUUCUGGUUCAUUUGCUUAAAUAAAGAUUAAACAUGACAA